rnacentral:rRNA from 1 species
UACGUAGGGGGCUAGCGUUGUCCGGAUUUAUUGGGCGUAAAGCGCUCGUAGGCGGCCGUUCGCGUCGGAUGUGAAAGCUCAGGGCUCAACUCUGAGACGCCAUUCGAUACGGGACGGCUAGAGGUAGGUAGGGGAAAGUGGAAUUCCUGGUGUAGCGGUGAAAUGCGCAGAUAUCAGGAGGAACACCGGUGGCGAAGGCGGCUUUCUGGGCCUUACCUGACGCUGAGGAGCGAAAGCUGGGGGAGCGAACGGG